GCAUUAGUAGCCUAAUUGUUAGAGCGCCGACCUUGUAAGCCGGAGGCGAAGAUUAAAAUUCUUCCUAAUGCU
rnacentral:tRNA from 1 species